rnacentral:rRNA from 1 species
AUUGAACGCUGGCGGCAGGCCUAACACAUGCAAGUCGAACGGUAACAGGAAGCAGCUUGCUGCUUCGCUGACGAGUGGCGGACGGGUGAGUAAUGUCUGGGAAACUGCCUGAUGGAGGGGGAUAACUACUGGAAACGGUAGCUAAUACCGCAUAACGUCGCAAGACCAAAGAGGGGGACCUUCGGGCCUCUUGCCAUCGGAUGUGCCCAGAUGGGAUUAGCUUGUUGGUGGGGUAACGGCUCACCAAGGCGACGAUCCCUAGCUGGUCUGAGAGGAUGACCAGCCACACUGGAACUGAGACACGGUCCUGACUCCUACGGGAGGCAGCAGGGGGGAAUAUUGCACAAUGGGCGCAAGCCUGAUGCAGCCAUGCCGCGUGUAUGAAGAAGGCCUUCGGGUUGUAAAGUACUUUCAGCGGGGAGGAAGGGAGUAAAGUUAAUACCUUUACUCAUUGACGUUACCCGCAGAAGAAGCACCGGCUAACUCCGUGCCAGCCGCCGCGGUAA